rnacentral:rRNA from 1 species
GAUGAACGCUAGCGGCAGGCUUAACACAUGCAAGUCGAGGGGUAUAGUUCUUCGGAACUAGAGACCGGCGCACGGGUGCGUAACGCGUAUGCAAUCUACCUUUUGCAGAGGGAUAGCCCAGAGAAAUUUGGAUUAAUACCUCAUGGUAUGUGAGAAUGGCAUCAUUUUCACAUUAAAGUCACAACGGCAAAAGAUGAGCAUGCGUCCCAUUAGCUUGUUGGUAAGGUAACGGCUUACCAAGGCAACGAUGGGUAGGGGUCCUGAGAGGGGGAUCCCCCAAACUGGUACUGAGACACGGACCAGACUCCUACGGGAGGCAGCAGUGAGGAAUAUUGGACAAUGGGCGCAAGCCUGAUCCAGCCAUGCCGCGUGCAGGAUGACGGUCCUAUGGAUUGUAAACUGCUUUUGUACAGGAAGAAACACUGGUUCGUGAACCAGCUUGACGGUACUGUAAGAAUAAGGAUCGGCUAACUCCGUGCCAGCAGCCGCGGUAACAC